rnacentral:rRNA from 1 species
AUACGUAGGGUGCGAGCGUUAAUCGGAAUUACUGGGCGUAAAGCGUGCGCAGGUGGUUGUUUAAGACAGAUGUGAAAUCCCCGGGCUUAACCUGGGAACUGCGUUUGUGACUGGACAGCUAGAGUGCGGCAGAGGGGGGUGGAAUUCCACGUGUAGCAGUGAAAUGCGUAGAGAUGUGGAGGAACACCGAUGGCGAAGGCAGCCCCCUGGGCCAGCACUGACGCUCAUGCACGAAAGCGUGGGGAGCAAACAGGAUUAGAUACCCUGGUAGUCCACGCCCUAAACGAUGUCAACUAGGUGUUGGGGAAGGAGACUUUCUUAGUACCGCAGCUAACGCGUGAAGUUGACCGCCUGGGGAGUACGGUCGCAAGAUUAAA